rnacentral:sRNA from 1 species
CGGAACAGCGGCCUCUGACACCAGCACAGCAAACCCGCUGGGAUCAAAGUGUACCAGUCGGCAGCAUGGCUACGAAAUGUGGGAACUGUGGACCCGGCUACUCCACCCCUCUGGAGGCCAUGAAAGGUAAUUGCCCAUGGUCUGAGAGCCAGCGCCCUACUACUGAUUCCACAGCUGGGGGUGGAGGGACUUCAGACCUAGCCCCCACCCUCUGGCACACCCAGCACUUCCCCUACCUUUCCUUCCCACCCUGCCGUCCCUGCUGCCUGCUUUCUACCCUGCAGGACCCAGGGAAGAGAUCGUCUACCUGCCCUGCAUUUACCGAAACACAGGCACUGAGGCCCCAGAUUAUCUGGCCACUGUGGAUGUUGACCCCAAGUCUCCCCAGUAUUGCCAGGUUAGGCGGGGCUUGGGCGCCAGCUACUUUGAGACCGUAGCUGCCCUCAUCCCUGGCCCUGGGCCCCCCCUUCCCAGCUCCAUCCUUCUUGGCCCUCCCUGGGGAUGCUUGUGCACGCUCAACCUGGGACAAGGGGAGUGCUGAAAUCCAGCUUGUGCCGUGCUUCCAAACCAAAAUGCAUCCACGGGGGCGCCUCUUCCAAAAGUGGACAGAGGCGUGGCCUGGGAGAGCACCACCUCUCCCUGCAUCCUAGGUCAUCCACCGGCUGCCCAUGCCCAACCUGAAGGACGAGCUGCAUCACUCAGGAUGGAACACCUGCAGCAGCUGCUUCGGUGAUAGCACCAAGUCGCGCACCAAGCUGGUGCUGCCCAGUCUCAUCUCCUCUCGUAUCUAUGUGGUGGACGUGGGCUCUGAGCCCCGGGCCCCAAAGCUGCACAAGGUCAUUGAGCCCGAGGACAUCCAUGCCAAGUGCGAACUGGCCUUUCUCCACACCAGCCACUGCCUGGCCAGCGGGGAAGUGAUGAUCAGCUCCCUGGGAGACGUCAAGGGCAAUGGCAAAGGGGGUUUUGUGCUGCUGGAUGGGGAGACGUUCGAGGUGAAGGGGACGUGGGAGAGACCUGGGGGUGCUGCACCGUCGGGCUAUGACUUCUGGUACCAGCCUCGACACAAUGUCAUGAUCAGCACUGAGUGGGCAGCUCCCAAUGUCUUACGAGAUGGCUUCAACCCCGCUGAUGUGGAGGCUGGACUGUACGGGAGCCACUUAUAUGUAUGGGACUGGCAGCACCAUGAGAUUGUGCAGACCCUGUCUCUAAAAGAUGGGCUUAUUCCCUUGGAGAUCCGCUUCCUGCACAACCCAGACGCUGCCCAAGGCUUUGUGGGCUGCGCACUCAGCUCCACCAUCCAGCGCUUCUACAAGAACGAGGGAGGUACAUGGUCAGUGGAGAAGGUGAUCCAGGUGCCCCCCAAGAAAGUGAAGGGCUGGCUGCUGCCCGAAAUGCCAGGCCUGAUCACCGACAUCCUACUCUCCCUGGACGACCGCUUCCUCUACUUCAGCAACUGGCUGCAUGGGGACCUGAGGCAGUAUGACAUCUCUGACCCACAGAGACCCCGCCUCACAGGACAGCUCUUCCUCGGAGGCAGCAUUGUUAAGGGAGGCCCUGUGCAAGUGCUGGAGGACCAGGAACUAAAGUCCCAGCCAGAGCCCCUAGUGGUCAAGGGAAAACGGGUGGCUGGAGGCCCUCAGAUGAUCCAGCUCAGCCUGGAUGGGAAGCGCCUCUAUAUCACCACGUCACUGUACAGUGCCUGGGACAAGCAGUUUUACCCUGAUCUCAUCAGGGAAGGCUCUGUGAUGCUGCAGGUUGAUGUAGACACAGUAAAAGGAGGGCUGAAGUUGAACCCCAACUUCCUGGUGGACUUCGGGAAGGAGCCCCUUGGCCCAGCCCUUGCCCAUGAGCUCCGCUACCCUGGGGGCGAUUGUAGCUCUGACAUCUGGAUUUGAACUCCACCCUCAUCACCCACACUCCCUAUUUUGGGCCCUCACUUCCUUGGGGACCUGGCUUCAUUCUGCUCUCUCUUGGCACCCGACCCUUGGCAGCAUGUACCACACAGCCAAGCUGAGACUGUGGCAAUGUGUUGAGUCAUAUACCUUUACUCACCACUGUUGCUUGUUGCUCACUGUGCUGCUUUUCCAUGAGCUCUUGGAGGCACCAAGAAAUAAACUGGCAACCCUGUC